GUCCUUGCCGUAAACGAUGUAUACUUGGUGUAACCGGAAUCAACCCUGGUUGUGCCGAAGCUAACGCGAUAAGUAUACCGCCUGGGGAGUACGCUCGCAAGGGUGAAACUCAAAAGAAUUGACGGGGACCCGCACAAGCAGUGGAGCAUGUGGUUUAAUUCGAUGCAACGCGAAGAACCUUACCCAGACUUGACAUGCAGUGGACGAUAUCAGAAAUGAUAUUUCCCUUCGGGGCCGCUGCACAGGUGCUGCAUGGCUGUCGU
rnacentral:rRNA from 1 species